CAGGCUCACUGAACGGGUUCUCUACAUGGGAACCAGGGGCGGAGGAAGGCCCACCAGCUGGCCCAGCCUCUGGACUCAACAGGUAUAAAGCAGGGCUGGAGAGAUGGCUUCGCAGUUAAGAGCAUUGACUGCUCUUCCACAGGACCCCAAUUCAAUUCCCAGCACCCACAUAGCGCCUCACAACCUCUGCAACUCCAGUUCCAGGGGAACUGAUGACCUCUUCUGGACUCUGGCUACUAAACACACGGAACAAAGACAUAUGGAGGGAAGAAACCCCUGGCUUUGAGGACGGAUCUAUCUGAAUGAAUGAACUGCUAAGCCUGGGACACAGACAUGAACGCAGGACACCUAGCAAGUCUAGUACUAUAGAGAAAAGGAUGACAAGAUGGAUCUACACCCUCAGGGAGAAAGGACUAAUAAACAGUCAACUAUCGCCAUGAUAAGAUGUCCCGCAACAGGGACGAGCACGGAGCUCCUGCCUCUGACAGCUGGGAAGGGGGUGCUGAAGGCUUGCUGGGGAAGAGCUCUUCCAGGCUUGGGGUGCUGAAGCAGACUCUCCCGAGGGCCCCCGGAGAGUGAUGUGGGGAAGAGAAGCUCUGAGUUAAGGGCUGCACACCUCCCCUCCACCACUCCCACCUCUACCUGCUCAGUGCCUAACAGCAUGGGUGGCCGCUCAUACUUCCCAGGGAGACCGGACUUUUGUAUGUGUAGGAUAAAUGGGAAGCCCAAUAACAUACUUGGGUCCCAUAUGUCAAAGCAUCUCCACUUCACGGACCACUCAGCUUCCAACCCGCCAAGGCUUCACUUCUACUCUGACUGUGAAGGAGCGGCACACACUGGGAAGGAGAAAGCAACGCUCGAAUACAAUGCCAAGCACCGGGGUGGAGGGAUGACGGCUCCCUGGUUAGGAGCACUGGCCGCUCUUCAGAGGACACAGGUGAUCCCUGUGUGGCAGCUCACGACGGUCUGCAGCCCCAGCUCACAGCGCAUCUGACACCCUCUUCUGGACUCCACUGACACCAGGCACACAUGCGAUGCACACACACAUGCAGGAAAAAUACUCCUAACACAUAAAAUGGGAUAAUAAUUCUGAUGAUAGCAAAGUACUAAAUAAACAGAACAGUGUCAGGGAACAUCUGGAACUGUUCCCAAACAAACAAAUGAUUUAAGGGGAAACUGAGGCCAAAACAAAACAAGGCACCUAUGAUCAAUAUCCUCAGGUAAGACAGCACAUUCAUGCAAUAAAAGGCUUUUUCUUUCUUUUUUAAAAAAUGAUUUAUUUAUCUUACAUGUAAGGGUGUUCUGUCUGUGUGUACAUCUGUGAACCGUGUGCAUGCCUGGUGCUUGUGGAGACAGAAGUCACUGGAUGGCCUGAACUCAAGUCGGAGAUAGUUGUGAGCCUCCAGAUGGGUGCUGGGCAUUGAGCUGGAUCUUCUCGAAGACCAGCUAGUGUUCUUACUGAAUGGCUGUGAUGGCAUAUGACUCAUCCUAGCACCAGUGAGGCUGGAGCAGGCAUACUGAGAGGUCAAAGCUAGCCUGUGGUGGAGGGGAGAGAAGGAAAUGAGAGGAAAGAAAUGGGCAAAAGCAGGGAAGGGAAAGAAAAAGUACUGGGUAUUCAAAAUGGCAAAGAAUACUAAUACUAAUACUUGGAAGAAAAUGAUUGAGCAAAUCUCCCAGAUUAAGACUAAGGAGAAACAAACUUGAACAACAGAUUCGCUAAUGAAGCCUAACUCUAACCUCAGACAGAAAAUGGAAUAGAAAAGUGAUUCAUUUGGAAAAUAAUGCAGGGUCUGGUGAGGAGCUGAGAGGCUGAGGAGCUGAGGCACUGCCUGCCAGGACCUGGUUCAGUCCUGGGAGAGAAAUGGUAACUGCAAGUUGUCCUCUGAACUGUGUGUGCACAAACACACAAAUCAUCAAUCAAUAUUAUGAAGCCUUCAUCUAUCAAUAUUAUAAAACCUGAAAUUAAAAAAAAGUGAGUUUGGGAGUCAGUGAUGGGAUAUUAGUGGCAGAUUUACGAUGAAUUGAGAUAAAAUUAGCAUUAGACUCUUUCAAAGCAAUACUGCAGGUUAAAAGAUAAUUCCUUCAAAAUUCUCCAAUAAAAUAAUUUCCAACAGAGAACUCACUCUUAGCCUACUAAUUAAUUAUGAUGGUAAACUAAGGCAUUUCAGAGAAGCAAGAAUUCAAAGGGUAUCUCUUAUCUCUCCUGUCUCAGAAAAUUACUAAAGGUUGUAACUUAAGCAAGCUAAGAAAACAAAACCAACAAACAACAAGGGAAACAAUAUAGGAAACAGAAGAGGCGCUGCACUAUCCUGGCAGGAGAGAAGCCAUAGAGACAGGCACACGUGCUGUCAGAUUAAUGAAACAACAGAUCCCGAGAGUUAUAGACUAGAGCCCUAUAUAUAACUAGAGUUAUAUAGAAAAUAACUAUAGAGUUAUUUUCUAGAGUUAUAGAAAAGAUGGGUUAAUGGUGCCAACAACUACACUGAGACCUGGGGCUGUUCAAUUAUGGAUAUCACCCACGCUAUGUUUAAACCAAACUCUCAUGCCAGGGCUCCUAACAAGGGCUGGAAGUCACUGGACCUCUUUAACCUCUUCUAAAGGGGCCACAGUGAAUUCAUCUGUAUUACUUUUCUUUUUAACUGUCUUACUGGGGACAAGUGGCAAAGCCAUCUUGAUGAGACCACCACGCCCAAGGCUCUGACCCUUCAAAUGUGGGUAAUAAACACAAUAACAAAGAAAAGUCUGAAAAUGAUGCUCCUCAACCUGGCAAGCCAGGCAGGUCAGUAGAGAGCAGUAAGUUGAAGUAAUCUUUCCGAGGGUCACAGAAUGGAUAGCUCUGAUGUAGGUGAAUGUCAAGAACCGAGUAGUUUCACCAGUGAAGAUACAUCAUUGAAAAACAAGGUAUGGAUGGGAGCAGCGGGCUGCAGAGCUGACUCUGCUAAGAGCAUUUGCUGCUCUUCCAAAGGACCCAAAUUCAGUUUCUGCACCUACAACUGCUGGUUAACUAUAGCUCUGGAGAAUUGGACACUGUCUUCUGACUACCAAAGUGCCAGGAGCCAAACUGACCUUACUUUAUGUUUAGAGUUCAUUUUAAAGAUAAGCUUAGGUUUUGACUUCUCCUCAGCUACAGACCUUGGAGAAAUUGGGUGGUCAAUGGUCACUGCGCCCUGCCAGAAGAAACAUCUUACAGCUGCCAGAGAUUCACCUUGGCUGAAUGCCUGGGCUACGCAGAAAAUCCCACUUGCCUUGCUUCUUCCCCUGCCUAUGUACGUUCCUAGAGAAAAUACAGUUUUUGAAGCCCUAAACAAAGUUGGUCUUGGCCUCGUCCUUCCCAUCUCCUGCCUCUAUUUCUCUACCCUUCUCUCCUAGGAUCCCCUGUUGAAAACCCCCGCAGGCCAGGGCAGCUGGCGCCCAACAUAGGGCCCCUUCCUGAGUAAGGAUCACAGAGAACGUUGUCUUAAAGGAGCGGCCGCUCAUCAUUUGGAACCACUGACUCAUCAGGUCGUAGUUGGUCACCACGGAAGCAAGCGGUGUGGGAGAUCUGAGGUAAUUGGUCACCACAGAAAUGCUUGUCUGUGGGAGAUCUGGGAUAAUUGGUCACCACAGAAAUGCUUGUCUGUGGGAGAUCUGGGAUAAUUGGUCAUCACGGAGGCGCUUGUUUGUAGGAGAUCUGGGAUAAGUUGGUCACCACAGAAAUGCCCAUCUGUGGCAGAUCUGGGGUAACUCAGGCGACGCAUUAUGGGACAGGCAUUAAGUAAAGCAGGAGGCUUUUCUUUAUGGUCUCAAGGAGGCCCUCAAGG